GCACAACGCGAAGAACCUUACCAAGGCUUGACAUGCAUCUCUAAGUGCGUGAAAGCGCGUGACCCUUCGGGGGAGUUUGCACAGGUGCUGCAUGGCCGUCGUCAGCUCGUGUCGUGAGAUGUUGGGUUAAGUCCCGCAACGAGCGCAACCCUUGUGACUAGUUGCCAGCACGUUAUGGUGGGAACUCUAGUCAGACUGCCCAGAUCAACUGGGAGGAAGGUGGGGACGACGUCAGGUCAGUAUGGCCCUUACGCCUUGGGCUGCACACGUACUACAAUGCCCAGCACAAUGAGAACCGAGACCGCGAGGUGGAGGAAAUCUAAAAAACUGGGCCCAGUUCGGAUUGGAGGCUGCAACUCGCCUCCAUGAAGUUGGAAUCGCUAGUAAUGGCGCAUCAUCUACGGCGCCGUGAAUACGUUCCCGGGUCUUGUACACACCG
rnacentral:rRNA from 1 species